UACGUAGGGUGCAAGCGUUAAUCGGAAUUACUGGGCGUAAAGCGUGCGCAGGCGGUUCGGAAAGAAAGAUGUGAAAUCCCAGGGCUUAACCUUGGAACUGCAUUUUUAACUGCCGGGCUAGAGUAUGUCAGAGGGGGGUAGAAUUCCACGUGUAGCAGUGAAAUGCGUAGAGAUGUGGAGGAAUACCGAUGGCGAAGGCGGCCCCCUGGGAUAAUACUGACGCUCAUGCACGAAAGCGUGGGGAGCAAACAGG
rnacentral:rRNA from 1 species